GUUGAAAUACCAGUUCCCGUACGAUCACCGAAGUUAAGCAACGUCAAGCCUGGUUAGUACCGAGAUGGGUAACCGCUUGUAAAUACUAGG